AGAGUUUGAUCCUGGCUCAGAUUGAACGCUGGCGGCAUGCUUUACACAUGCAAGUCGAACGGCAGCACGGGUGCUUGCACCUGGUGGCGAGUGGCGAACGGGUGAGUAAUGCACCGGAACGUACCCAGUAAUGGGGGAUAACACAUCGAAAGAUGUGCUAAAACCGCAUACGCCCUGAGGGGGAAAGCGGGGGAUCGUAAGACCUCGCGUUAUUGGAGCGGCCGAUGCCGGAUUAGCUAGUUGGUGAGGUAAGAGCUCACCAAGGCGACGAUCCGUAGCUGGUCUGAGAGGACGACCAGCCACACUGGGACUGAGACACGGCCCAGACUCCUACGGGAGGCAGCAGUGGGGAAUUUUGGACAAUGGGCGCAAGCCU
rnacentral:rRNA from 1 species